AGUAAUACACAAUAAGAGGCAUCAUAAAAACAUUGAUAAAUAAACAUAUAGAUCAUUUUCCAGUUGUAAAUCUUGUGCAUCUUAUAGUCGGAGGCGCUGGAAGGAUACUUGGAACUCCAAAUGUAGGUGGAAGUCUAUCCAUCGAGACAUUGUCAUUUCUUAGUCAAAUUUAUAGUAACGAUUGUGCUUCUCAAUCACCUUAAACGGGCCCAAGAAAGUUGUAGAAAGAAACUCUUUUAUAGUGUCUCGGAGGAAUGUGUGUUAUUUUCUCCAUUGUUUAAAAGAAGCUCGAGGUUGCCUGAAGUAAAGGUGGAAGCGUUAAAGAAAUUAAAGCCCAUGGAUCCCGAGCGACCUAUGAGUAAUUGAAAAGAAUUCGUGCUACCAGCCCGGUCUUAAAUUAUCAGUGGAAACGAUCUAUGAGUCCGUUGGACCCUGGAUGAUACGAAGUUGUGUUCUUGCUUGCAAUCCCAAGUGUCUUGCAAACACCCAUCCAUAAUGAACUUGUGAACUGCGUUCCUCGGUCAGACACACUGGUUUCUGGAACUCCAAACCUCGAAAUCUAACCACUCAAAAAAUUAUUGACUAUUGUCUUGGAGGUUAUAUCUGGAAUAGGUUUCACUUCUGGCCACCUUGUGAAACGAUCCAUAAUAGUUAGGACAUAGCGCUGUCCCUGAAUUAGUGGGAAUGAACCGAUUAUGUCUACGUGAAUAACGUGGAAAGUAUUUCAGAUAGAGGAUCGAAAGACGACAUUGGUUUUGAUGUCCUGAAAGGUUUGGUUUUCUGACAUUCUAAACACUCUCUAGUGAAGUUUUUGAAAUCUGCUCGCAAAUUAGGCCAAGCAUAAAAAAGUGAAACCCUACUUAACGUUUCUUUGAAUCCCGGAUGAUUGUCCUUGUGUACAAAAUGUCUUUGACGCAAUUCUGGAGAUGAUACAGCCACACAGAAUGCGUCAGCGUUGCCAAAACCAGCAAUUUCCUGCAAUGUAUUUAUAAGAGGGUUUAAUUUUAAACUUUAAAAAGAAUGUCUGCAGUAUGAUUUAAUUUUCCCGAAACGUGUUCGAUAUCACAAUUGAAUUCUGCUAUGAAUGUAAAAGUACGGAACUGUCUUGGUGUGCAAGAGGGAUUGGGAAUCAGAAUCACAGUGAGUAAAGGGUUAUGGUCCGUGAAAACUUUAAAACUUCUCCAUCCAAAACCCAUAGAAAAUGUGUGAUGUUUUCCUUAUCACUUAAUAAUUCCCUAUCAAACGUAGAAUAUUUCUGUUGUGUCGUUGAAAGAACCCGAGACCAAAAAAGCUAGAGGUUGCCAGUGUCAAUUUACCUUUUGCUCGAGAACAGCUCCCAUCCCUGUAUCAGAUGCAUCAGUCGUCAGGGCUAAAGGCAAUAAACUAUCAAUGAGUGCAAAUCUAGAGUACUUUUAGACAAACUAUUUUUAAUAAUUUGAAAGGUGUGUUCAUGUUCUGUAUUCCAAUUAAACUUUACAUUCUUCUUUAACAGGGGGGACAAAUGAACUGUCCCUUGAGGCGAUCUUUCGAUGAACUGUGAGUAAUAUUGUGCCAUCCCCAAAAAGUUAUGCAGUUCAUCUUUUGAUUUUGGUACUUUUUGGAUUACCUAUACCUUACAUUCUAGAGGCUAAAACCUUUCGAUCAAAUAGAAUGACUAUGGAAGUCCACCGAUUUCAUGAAAACCCCACAUUUUUCAGAGGAGAGGAUCAUACCAGUUGUUUUAAGUCUUGAUAAAACCACGUUCAACGUUUUCCAAUGCUCAUCCAUCGACUCCGAAGCGACAAAGAUAUCAUCAAGGUACACAAACACAUUUGGAACUCCUCGUAGAAUUGAAUUGAUUAGUCUCUGAAAUGUCUGAGCAGCAUUUUUAAGACCAAAAGGCAUCCUCAAAUAUU
rnacentral:lncRNA from 1 species